rnacentral:rRNA from 1 species
UACGGAAGGCAGCAGUGGGGAAUAUUGCACAAUGGGCGAAAGCCUGAUGCAGCUAUGCCGCGUGUAUGAAGAAGGCCUUAGGGUUGUAAAGUACUUUCAUCGGGGAGGAAAAACAAACUAAUAAUUUUAUUUCUUGACGUUACCCGAAAAAGAAGCACCGGCUAACUCCGUGCCAGCAGCCGCGGUAAUACGGAGGGUGCUAGCGUUAAUCAGAAUUACUGGGGCGUAAAGAGCACGUAGGUGGUUUUUUUAAGUUCAGAUGUGAAAUCCCUGGGCUUAACCUAGGAACUGCAUUUUGAAACUGAAAUACUAGAGUAUCGUAGAGGGAGGUAGAAUUCUAGGUGUAGCGGUGAAAUGCGUAGAUAUCUGGAGGAAUACCUGUGGCGAAAGCGGCCUCCUAAACGAAUACUGACACUGAGGGUGCGAAAGCGUGGGGAGCAAACAGGGAUUAGAUACC